GACGAACGCUGGCGGCGUGCCUAAUACAUGCAAGUAGAACGCACAGUUUAUACCGUAGCUUGCUACACCAUAGACUGUGAGUUGCGAACGGGUGAGUAACGCGUAGGUAACCUGCCUGGUAGCGGGGGAUAACUAUUGGAAACGAUAGCUAAUACCGCAUAAUAUUAAUUAUUGCAUGAUAAUUGAUUGAAAGAUGCAACUGCAUCACUACCAGAUGGACCUGCGUUGUAUUAGCUAGUAGGUGAGGCAACGGCUCACCUAGGCGACGAUACAUAGCCGACCUGAGAGGGUGAUCGGCCACGCUGGGACUGAGACACGGCCCAGACUCCUACGGGAGGCAGCAGUAGGGAAUCUUCGGCAAUGGACGAAAGUCUGACUGAGCAACGCCGCGUGAGUGAAGAAGGUUUUCGGAUCGUAAAGCUCUGUUGUAAGAGAAGAACGGGUGUGAGAGUGGAAAGUUCACACUGUGACGGUAUCUUACCAGAAAGCGACGGCUAACUACGUG
rnacentral:rRNA from 1 species